rnacentral:misc_RNA from 1 species
GAUGAAGAACGCAGCGAAAUGCGAUAAGUAAUGUGAAUUGCAGAAUUCCGUGAAUCAUCGAAUCUUUGAACGCACAUUGCGCCCCCUGGCAUUCCGGGGGGCAUGCCUGUCCGAGCGUCAUUUCUGCCCUCAAGCACGGCUUGUGUGUUGGGUGUGGUCCCCCCGGGGACCUGCCCGAAAGGCAGCGGCGACGUCCGUCUGGUCCUCGAGCGUAUGGGGCUCUGUCACUCGCUCGGGAAGGACCUGCGGGGGUUGGUCACCACUAUAUUUUAACACGGUUGACCUCGGAUCAGGUAGGAGUUACCCGCUGAACUUAAGCAUAUCAAUAAGCGGAGGA